GAGUUUGAUCCUGGCUCAGGAUGAACGCUGGCGGCGUGCUUAACACAUGCAAGUCGAACGGGAAAUACUUUAUUGAAACUUCGGUGGAUUUAAUUUAUUUCUAGUGGCGGACGGGUGAGUAACGCGUGGGUAACCUGCCUUAUACUGGGGGAUAACAGCCAGAAAUGACUGCUAAUACCGCAUAAGCGCACAGAACCGCAUGGUUCGGUGUGAAAAACUCCGGUGGUAUAAGAUGGACCCGCGUUGGAUUAGCUAGUUGGCAGGGCAGCGGCCUACCAAGGCGACGAUCCAUAGCCGGCCUGAGAGGGUGAACGGCCACAUUGGGACUGAGACACGGCCCAGACUCCUACGGGAGGCAGCAGUGGGGAAUAUUGCACAAUGGGGGAAACCCUGAUGCAGCGACGCCGCGUGAAGGAAGAAGUAUCUCGGUAUGUAAACUUCUAUCAGCAGGGAAGAUAAUGACGGUACCUGACUAAGAAGCCCCGGCUAACUACGUGCCAGCCGCCGCGGUAAUUC
rnacentral:rRNA from 1 species